rnacentral:rRNA from 1 species
AUUGAACGCUGGCGGCAGGCCUAACACAUGCAAGUCGAACGGUAACAGGAAACAGCUUGCUGUUUCGCUGACGAGUGGCGGACGGGUGAGUAAUGUCUGGGAAACUGCCUGAUGGAGGGGGAUAACUACUGGAAACGGUAGCUAAUACCGCAUAACGUCGCAAGACCAAAGAGGGGGACCCUCGGGCCUCCUGCCAUCGGAUGUGCCCAGAUGGGAUUAGCUUGUUGGUGGGGUAACGGCUCACCAAGGCGACGAUCCCUAGCUGGUCUGAGAGGAUGACCAGCCACACUGGAACUGAGACACGGUCCAGACUCCUACGGGAGGCAGCAGUGGGGAAUAUUGCACAAUGGGCGCAAGCCUGAUGCAGCCAUGCCGCGUGUAUGAAGAAGGCCUUCGGGUUGUAAAGUACUUUCAGCGGGGAGGAAGGGAGUAAAGUUAAUACCUUUGCUCAUUGACGUUACCCGCAGAAGAAGCACCGGCUAACUCCGUG